rnacentral:rRNA from 1 species
GACGAACGCUGGCGGCGUGCUUAACACAUGCAAGUCGAACGGAAAGGCCCUGCUUUUGUGGGGUGCUCGAGUGGCGAACGGGUGAGUAACACGUGAGUAACCUGCCCUUGACUUUGGGAUAACUUCAGGGAACUGGGGCUAAUACCGGAUAUGAGCUCCUGCUGCAUGGUGUGGGUUGGAAAAUUUCGGCGGUUGGGGAUGGACUCGCGGCUUAUCAGCUUGUUGGUGGGGUAGUGGCGUACCAAGGCUUUGACGGGUAGCCGGCCUGAGAGGGUGACCGGCCACAUUGGGACUGAGAUACGGCCCAGAAUGCUACGGGAGGCAGCAGUGGGGAAUAUUGCACAAUGGGCGGACGCCUGAUGCAGCAACGCCGCGUGCGGGAUGACGGCCUUCGGGUUGUAAACAGAUUUCGCAUGUGACGAAGAGUGAGUGACGGUAAUGGGUAAAGAAGCACCGGCUAACUACGUG